rnacentral:rRNA from 1 species
CUUGCUUUCUUUGCUGGCGACCGGCGCACGGGUGAGUAACACGUAUCCAACCUGCCCUUUACUCGGGGAUAGCCUUUCGAAAGAAAGAUUAAUACCCGAUAGCAUAAUGAUUCCGCAUGGUUUCAUUAUUAAAGGAUUCCGGUAAAGGAUGGGGAUGCGUUCCGUUAGGUUGUUGGUGAGGUAACGGCCCACCAAGCCUUCGAUGGAUAGGGGUUCUGAGAGGAAGGUCCCCCACAUUGGAACUGAGACACGGUCCAA